ACACUCCUACGGGAGGCAGCAGUGGGGAAUAUUGCACAAUGGGCGCAAGCCUGAUGCAGCCAUGCCGCGUGUAUGAAGAAGGCCUUCGGGUUGUAAAGUACUUUCAGCGGGGAGGAAGGCGAUAAGGUUAAUAACCUUGUCGAUUGACGUUACCCGCAGAAGAAGCACCGGCUAACUCCGUGCCAGCAGCCGCGGUAAUACGGAGGGUGCAAGCGUUAAUCGGCAUUACUGGGCGUAAAGCGCACGCAGGCGGUCUGUCAAGUCGGAUGUGAAAUCCCCGGGCUCAACCUGGGAACUGCAUUCGAAACUGGCAGGCUAGAGUCUUGUAGAGGGGGGUAGAAUUCCAGGUGUAGCCGUGAAAUGCGUAGAGAUCUGGAGGAAUACCGGUGGCGAAGGCGGCCCCCUUGACAAAGACUGACGCUCGGGUGCGAAAGCGUGGGGAGCAAACAGGAUUAGAAACCCUUGUAGUCCCAUGA
rnacentral:rRNA from 1 species